rnacentral:rRNA from 1 species
GACGAACGCUGGCGGCGUGCUUAACACAUGCAAGUCGAACGGAAAGGCCCCUUCGGGGGUACUCGAGUGGCGAACAGGUGAGUAACACGUGAGUAACCUGCCCUUGACUUCGGGAUAACUUCAGGAAACUGGGGCUAAUACCGGAUAGGAAUCCUUGCUGCAUGGUGGGGGUUGGAAAGCUUCGGCGGUUUUGGAUGGACUGGCGGCUUAUCAGCUUGUUGGUGGGGUAGUGGCUUACCAAGGCUUUGACGGGUAGCCGGCCUGCGAGGGCGACCGGCCACAUUGGGACUGAGAUACGGCCCAGACUCCUACGGGAGGCAGCAGUGGGGAAUAUUGCACAAUGGGCGGAAGCCUGAUGCAGCAACGCCGCGUGCGGGAUGACGGCCUUCGGGUUGUAAACCGCUUUCAGCAGGGGCGAAGCUUGUGGUGACGGUACCUGCAGAAGAAGCACCGGCUAACUACGUG